rnacentral:rRNA from 1 species
UACAGAGGGUGCGAGCGUUGCUCGGAAUCACUGGGCGUAAAGCGCACGUAGGCGGCUUUCUAAGUCAGGGGUGAAAUCCUGGAGCUCAACUCCAGAACUGCCUUUGAUACUGGGAGCUCGAGUCCGGAAGAGGUGAGUGGAACUCCGAGUGUAGAGGUGAAAUUCGUAGAAUAUUCGGAAGAACACCAGUGGCGAAGGCGGCUCACUGGUCCGGUACUGACGCUGAGGUGCGAAAGCGUGGGGAGCAAACAGGG